GCAAAGAAAAGAAAAGAAAAGAAUCUAGGCCUGCAGAAGGAUUUCUUGAGCCCAGGAGUUCUGUAGUGUGUCGUGCCAAUAGUGUGUCUGCACUAAUUCGGCAUCAAUAUGGUGACCUCCUGGGAGCAGGGGACCACCAGGUUGCCUAAGGAGUGACAAACAAGCCCAGGUCAGAAACAGAGCAGGUCGAAACUACUGUGCUGAUCAGUGGUGGGCUCACAACUGUGAAUAGCCACUGCCCCUCCAGCCUGGCAACAUAACGAGAGUCUAUCUAU
rnacentral:SRP_RNA from 1 species